rnacentral:rRNA from 1 species
AUUGCCUCAGUAACGGCGAGUGAAGCGGCAAGAGCUCAAAUUUGAAAGCUGGCCCCUCCGGGGUCCGCAUUGUAAUUUGCAGAGGAUGCUUCGGGCUCAGCCCCCGUCUAAGUGCCCUGGAACGGGCCGUCGGAGAGGGUGAGAAUCCCGUCUGGGACGGGGUGCCUGGGUCCAUGUGAAGCUCCUUCGACGAGUCGAGUUGUUUGGGAAUGCAGCUCUAAAUGGGUGGUAAAUUUCAUCUAAAGCUAAAUACUGGCCGGAGACCGAUAGCGCACAAGUAGAGUGAUCGAAAGAUGAAAAGCACUUUGAAAAGAGAGUUAAACAGCACGUGAAAUUGUUGAAAGGGAAGCGCUUGCGAUCAGACUCGCCUGCGGGGUUCAGCCGGCAUUCGUGCCGGUGUACUUCCCCGUGGGCGGGCCAGCGUCUGUUCGGGUGGCCGGUCAAAGGCCCCGGGAAUGUGUCGCCCUCCGGGGCGUCUUAUAGCCCGGGGUGCCAUGCGGCCUACCUGGACCGAGGAACGCGCUUCGGCUCGGACGCUGGCGUAAUGGUCGUAAGCGGCCCGUCUU